AAAAAACAAAAUCAUUUUUGCCAAGUAAUCGAGUACCCGAGUACUCGAUCGAAAGAUUGACCGAGUACUCGAGUACCAAUUUUACUACUUGUUGCCAUCCCUAAUUUAAUCACACAACGUAAACAACUGAGCCACAGAUCUUAUCUGUAUGUUUUGGGUUUUUUAAAAUUCAGCAGUUAAAUAAAAAUUAGCAUACUGGUAGGUCUGGUGCUUUAGUUGCUAAGUAUGAGGUAAACAUAAUGUCAGUGAUUUCAUCACUAUUACUAUUAAAACAUCAGUUUUCUUCUUCAAAGCUUCUCACGUUUGCACCAUUUUUUACCAUUUAUCAUAACGUUGGGAAACAAUUUCAAUCAAAACUGAAUCACAAAAAGAUAACAAACCAACACUGAUGGAACAUUUGAAAAUACAAUAGAUUUCAGUUGGUUUCUAUUUUUUUGUUAAGUUUUGCUUGAAAUUAUUCUGCUUGAAUGUGAUUAUUGUUGCUUAAAUUAGAACUUAACACUUCAUGAAUAUUUCUGGAAUGCAGGGGUCAGAUUUCAGAUUGCUCAUUAUUUCUGGAACACUAAAUACUGUAUUUGAUUGAGUACACUGCACUUUCUUGUUUACCAUUCAUCCAAAUCAUUUGGGUAAAUAUUGGCAGAAAAACUGCUUUUGGAUUAAUACUGGUCAUCAUAACCGGCACUGACAAAACAUAAGACGUGUUUAUUGAAUGUGCGGGAAAGAGGUAUAAAGGUGUCCGCCCACAACGAAAUGCUUCCGGGUCGCAGUACCCCUUCAAGUAGUUCUUGAAAAAAAAUGUUUCUCUCAGGUAGCAUUUGAUUAUGUGUACAUUGUAUUCUUGUAUGUAUUUUCAAGUUUACACAUGAUUUAUAUCUUAUUUAAUACAGUGAUGUGGUUUUGAAUGAUAUUUUGCCGGACGUCUUUCUUGUGUGGAUGGAUUCAGAGAUGACCCCAGAAAUGCGGUCAUGACUGUGGCACAUGUAUGUUAUAGAUAGUGACUGUAAAGAAAUGUUUAUAGCAGAAAGAUGAAACUAUCUUUAUAUGGUUUUCUGGUGUUAAAUUAACUGACAGUGUUCAUAAUUUGUCGGAAAAUAGUGUCAAAGCUGAAAUCUAUUCUGCAAAUUCAAAAUAAAGUGGUGAACUGGAGUGAUUUUACAUAUAUAUAUAUAAAAAGGACAAUUUUGUUGUGGACCGUGACUUAGAAGUGAAAACCAGAUUUUGGAAUAACUCAGCUUAUAUGCAGUGUACAGUAAUGAAAUUUCACACAAAAGUUCCUGAGGGUAUCUAUAUAAAGGCACCUAGUUUCUGAAAGGUUUUUACCAAGGUUUGAAUAUUUUUAGUUUUAUUUAAAUUUUAAAAUUUUGACAUUUCUUUUAAAGAUUUGCCUGCCCCUGUCUGAACACUUAAGUUCGUGGUCUUUGGACUAUUGUCUGCAACUUCAAAACCUGACUUUUUGGAACAGGACAUAUUUGUCUGAUAUUUUAUCCAGUUUGACUGCAAAUGGAAUUAUUUCCAUAUAAUACCUGGUAGUUAUAAAAAUUUGUUAAUUGGUUUUAAUUCAUGGAUAGGUUUAUUGAAGAGUGUCAUGGAAAGCUGAAACUUUUCAGUACACAACAUGGAAACUUUGAAUGAACUGUGUGUUCCGGCUUUGUGAACAAAAACACAAGGCGGCUAUGGUAAGUUGCAUCAAGAUAUCCUUGGGACCCCCCCCCCCCCCUCGGACACACAAUGCAAUUCGUUUUUUGCUGACAUCCAUUUGGGAAUUUGCAUAUGUUACCCUAGUCUAAGAUAAUAGACGUGUUAUACGGGAUUCUUCCAAUCCCUAACGAAGGAUUUGCCAUAUCAAAAAUCGUAAAAAAAUCCGUCAACGUACAAUUAUUUGGACUAAUGUUACCCCAGCCAACAGGCUGAAUGUUUAAUUGUACUCAGUACUAGGCUUUGUUUUAGUGCGAACAUCAACAUGUUUUUCUAAUUGCAGUUGCUGCUUGGGACAAUAAAGUUAAGUCAGCAACCAUCUAUCAGACUGCAAGAUUCAUCUCUUCCAAAGGAUGUCAUACCUUUCCAGAUACACUGUGUUGUGUGUGGAUAAGAAAUGCAGAGUGGUACCACCAGUCACCUAAGCCACCAUUCCUCUAACAGACAAAAGGCUCAUGGGGACAGUCCCUGCAGUUUACAGCAAAGCUCUCAAUUGUAGCCCUACAAACUUCAGAUACUGCCGAGGGCGUAGCUUGGGUGCACGGGGCCGGUUUUCCAGCCGUGUGGAUUCAACAUCUCCAGCUGAACUGGGGCCAGGAAUUAUAUAAGACUCCUCAGCAGCACGAGUGCCAGCCAGUCGUUGCCAUUCUUCACAUUGUUUAGGAGGACAGUCCUGCCAACAUAACAGUUUGUUCAAUAACAGGUAAAGAACGGAUCGAUGAUUUCCUGGAUAUGGACAAGACCCACUCCCUGCAGGGAUUAAGCAGAAAAGAGCAGUAUUGAAAAACAAGAACAAAACUUUUUAAUGAAAACAAAACUCUUUCGUUAGAAAGCACAGAAGUGAAAAAGCAGCAAUUACGAUACACUGAAGUGAUUGGAGUUUCACCAUGAUAAGAUACGGUCGGGUUUGCAGGUGGUCUGCAAAAGUGCAAAAAAAUUGUGACGCAAACCAAAAUACUUGGACUAAAGUUUUUAGGAUACUGUCUUUGAACUUUAAACAUAUGUUCGCAUGAAGUGAAGAUGUAUUUGACAUAUAUAUGAUAUGGAUCAGUCAAAUAUUUGUUAGAGGGGGAAAGGAUUUGUAAAAAUUUCAAGAUGCAAACAAAUAAUCAUUCUCAAGACAAUAAUGAAUUAUAAAUAUUGAAAAGAUACAUACUGUGGACGAACUUUUUAUACAUACUUAUUCACAUUAUUUAAGAAAAUUUGGACUCAGUUUGAUCUGUACCUAGCAAGCUAUAAUAUGCAAAUAAAGUAACUUUAUUAUUCAUAUAAAUUUAGUCUGAUGCCUUGAUUAACAGGUGUGAAAUAAAUAUCACAACAGCUACCUAUUUGUUUGACUGACCACUGUGCACACACUGUGAUAUAUAGCCAUAGGUAUUAAAGUGACCAUUAAAGCUGCACUCUCACAAAUUGACAGUUUUGACCUUUUUUAUUUUUUUGUCUUAGAAUCUAUAUAAUCAUAUAAUGAUAACACAACUUAGGUCUUUCCAGGAUUAGUGUGUCACUUUGUAUGUAAAUACACUGUACACAUGCAAGUAUAAAACUGACAUGAAAUUUUGGAUAUUUGCUCAGUAACCACAACAUUAUGUCAUUCUUGUUGUAUUCAUCAAAAGCUAAUGUAGCUUCAAAAUUUGUGUACAAUUUCCACCAUUCUGCCAACUGCAUGCUGCAUUGUUGCUAGAGUUACAGUGAAUUUUUCAUAAAAAUUGAGAUUGAGUUUUAAAGAGACAAUACAUAAAUCAGUCAACAAUUCAUUAAAUGGAGAUUUUUUGCAUUGAUGAGAUAUUGUUGCACCCAGAUCUAGAAUAUUGGAGCCUUAGGCCAUAAUAAAACAAAAACCUUGUCAUAUGUACACAACCACCAUUCAUUAUAAUUAUUUUAAGAGAUUUGGUAACAUGAGUGCUUAAUUAUAACAUUGUGUCAAAGUUUGUGAAUGUUUGUUCUUUGAAUGUUCAGUAAA